rnacentral:rRNA from 1 species
AGUCACUGACAUUAGAUACCCGUGUAGUCCAGGGUGUAAACGCUGCAGACUUGGUGUUGGAAGCCCUUUGGGGGCAUUCAGUGCCGGAGAGAAGUUGUUAAGUCUGCUACUUGGGGAGUACGUCCGCAAGGAUGAAACUUAAGGAAUUGGCGGGGGAGCACCGCAACGGGAGGAGCGUGCGGUUUAAUUGGAUUCAACACCGUAAAACUCACCAGGGAAGACUGUUACAUGAAGGCCGAGAUGAAGACUCUGCCAGAUUUUCAG